CGGGUUGUAAACCUCUUUCAGCAGGGAAGAAGCGAGAGUGACGGUACCUGCAGAAGAAGCGCCGGCUAACUACGUGCCAGCAGCCGCGGUAAUACGUAGGGCGCAAGCGUUGUCCGGAAUUAUUGGGCGUAAAGAGCUCGUAGGCGGUGUGUCGCGUCUGCUGUGAAAUCCUCAGGCUCAACCUGGGGCUUGCAGUGGGUACGGGCACACUAGAGUGCGGUAGGGGUGACUGGAAUUCCUGGUGUAGCGGUGGAAUGCGCAGAUAUCAGGAGGAACACCGAUGGCGAAGGCAGGUCACUGGGCCGCAACUGACGCUGAGGAGCGAAAGCAUGGGGAGCGAACAGGAUUAGAUACCCUGGUAGUCCAUGCCGUAAACGUUGGGCACUAGGUGUGGGGUCCAUUCCACGGAUUCCGUGCCGCAGCAAACGCAUUAAGUGCCCCGCCUGGGGAGUACGGCCGCAAGGCUAAAACUCAAAGAAAUUGACGGGGGCCCGCACAAGCGGCGGAGCAUGCGGAUUAAUUCGAUGCAACGCGAAGAACCUUACCAAGGCUUGACAUGCACCGGUAACACUCAGAGAUGGGUGCCCCGCAAGGUCGGUGCACAGGUGGUGCAUGGUUGUCGUCAGCUCGUGUCGUGAGAGGUUGGGUUAAGUCCCGCAACGAGCGCAACCC
rnacentral:rRNA from 1 species